UUGAGUAAAAAUAUUCACGAGACUAUUAUGAAGUUCAUUGUAACCUGUUCCUCACUCACCUCUGUGAAUAAACCAGAGCUGUGAACAUCUCGCUUAUUAUGGAAGUUGGCAAGAUUUCAAAUUCAUGAGGUAUUGUACGUCUUUUAAUGCAUCGAUGACAUCAUCCAAUGUAUUCAUGGAUAUCGAGCAAAUGAAAAAUAUAAUCAGCAAAGAAGAUAUAGAAACGUCAACUCAGUCAUUUUCUUAAGAAACUGGGCCAUUUUAAUGGAAAAGGUAAUACGAAUUUCACGUCGAUUCUUCCCAUGC